CAGGCGUGUCUGCAGGGACGACCUCACCAACUCCUACCUCAGAUGCUGCACAAAAGCCGAACUCCCAUGGCAGGGGUCCUCCGACAGGAGAGACCAAAGACAUGGCAGGCAAGAAAUUCCAGGACCCAUUAGAAGUCAUGUGGCAAAUGCUGAAGGAAUGUCUGCAGAGAAGGCAAGAAAUGAAAGGAGAGCCUGUGCAGAAGGAAGCAUUUGCCGGAGGAAGCAGUGGUUCCGUGCCAGCCUCUGCUGCAGGAAGGGAGGCCAUGCCAGGCACAGGCACAGGAG